GAAAGAGAGAACACUGCCCAAUUCGCCCUUCCCAAUGCUGCCACAGUGUUCCUUGUAAAAAGAAAUAUAAAUCUGCAGCCCCCUGGACAUUCUCCUUCUUUUGGGACAUGGCACCUAGGGCCAUCAUUGCUGAAUUACUUGUCUACCAUGUCAGCUAGUCACUACAGAUAACUCUGCCUUCCAGGAUGACCCUUUCCUCUCUCCACAGUUCUGGAGUCUGUAAUGUUCUUCUGAUCAUUUUCACUGAUGGAUGAUCCUUCACAACAAGAUUUGGGAGAUUUAUGCAGUUAUGAUGAGAACCAGUAUAAACUUUCAAGGUGCUUCUUUUCUAAGGAACUCUAAAACUACUUGCCAUUUUGAUGAAGACUCAGUCCUGUGGGUGCAAGUCCAUGAAUCUCUCUGGUAGAGUUUGUGUUGAGAGCACAUGCCUGGAUGGACAGAACUCCCUCUUCAAAGAAAAGACUUUGAAAGCAAGAAUGAAGUUGGACAACUCUUCAAAUGGUUUCAGAAUUAGCCCUGGAAUAAGAUGAUAGAGAUCGUACAACUGGGUCUUACUGUUAAAUGCUGGUUGGUACAUGUAUGCAAUAAAGUUAAGGUCUUCUUGGCA
rnacentral:lncRNA from 1 species